GGGACCAAUGAUGAGAUCUGGUGGCGUCUGACUGUUUCUCAAUGUCAGCCAUGUAAACAGAUAUCUGAGGUCAGG
rnacentral:snoRNA from 1 species